GGAAUAUAUGAACUACACAGAAAACAACCAGGAGACAACAAAGGAGCACCAGGCUGCCCAGAGAUUGCACUCCAGCCCAGUUAAAGAGAUCUGAGUGAGAGCUAUGUUAGGGCCAACGUGGGCCACACUGAUAUAUACAGCAGGCCCAUCCCUCCACCCCGUGUCAUCGAUGGCCAGCCAGCGUAUACGAUGAGACGCCUCCUGAGGGUUCGACCACGGGGCAGGGGUUUCCAGUACCUGGUUGACUGGGAGGGUUAUGGCCCGGAGGAGGGGAAGUGCUGGGUUCCUGCUGAAGACAUCCUGGACCCGGCCGAUUUUCGCCGGUGUCAGCCAGGCCUUUUGCUGUCAGGUUUUCUAUCAACCUGGCAGAGUUGGUCACGUAGCUGCUCCAUCUCUACAUCAGUGCUGGUGGAGGGCUAUUUGAUCAAGAAGGAGAGUGAUGGAGUGCUGCAUCAGAUGACCUGGCCUCCACAAUCACCCAACCUCAACCCAAUUGAGAUGGUUGGUUUAGGAUGAGUUGGACUGCAGAGUGAAGGAAUAGCAGCCAACAAGUGCUCAGCAUAUGUGGGAACUCCUUCAAGACUGUUGGAAAAGCAUUCCAGGACUGGGGAGCUGUAAAAAAGGACAUAAGAGGACCAUUGCAGUCAAUGUGCACAGUAUAAUAUUAUAUCCAAAUAUGACACAAGUGAGGGAGAUACGACACUAGGUUCAUUGUCUGUGUUUCAAACUGACCAUCUUGAUUUUAUGAAGGGGUUAGUUAUUAUACCAGAUUAUAAUGGGGUUAGUUAUUAUACCAGAUUAUUAAGGGGUUAGUGAUUAUACCAGAUUAUAAAGGGAUUAGUUAUUAUACCAGAUUAUGAAGGGAUUAGUUAUUAUACCAGAUUAUAAUGGGGUUAGUUAUUAUACCAGAUUAUAAAGAGAUUUGUUAUUAUACCAGAUUAUUAAGGGGUUAGUUAUUAUACCAGAUUAUAAUGGGGUUAGUUAUUAUACCAGAUUAUAAUGGGGCUAGUUAUUAUACCAGAUUAUAAUGGGGUUAGUUAUUAUACCAGAUUAUGAAGGGGUUAGUUAUUAUACCAGAUUAUAAUGGGAUUUGUUAUUAUACCAGAUUAUAAAGAGAUUUGUUAUUAUACCAGAUUAUUAAGGGGUUAGUUAUUAUACCAGAUUAUGAAGGGAUUAGUUAUUAUACCAGAUUAUGAAGGGGUUAGUUAUUAUACCAGAUUAUGAAGGGGUUAGUUAUUAUACCAGAUUAUGAAGGGGUUAGUUAUUAUACCAGAUUCCCUGACCAUGUGACCUUCAUACUGCAACACAUGAAUUAAC
rnacentral:lncRNA from 1 species